UACGGGGGGUGCGAGCGUUAAUCGGAAUAACUGGGCGUAAAGGGCACGCAGGCGGACUUUUAAGUGAGGUGUGAAAUCCCCGGGCUCAACCUGGGAACUGCGUUUUGAACUGGCGGACUAGAGUGUGUCAGAGGGGGGUAGAAUUCCACGUGUAGCAGUGAAAUGCGUAGAGAUGUGGAGGAAUACCGAUGGCGAAGGCAGCCCCCUGGGAUAACACUGACGUUCAUGCCCGAAAGCGUGGGUAGCAAACAGG
rnacentral:rRNA from 1 species